rnacentral:rRNA from 2 species
GAGUGGCGAACUGGUGAGUAACACGGUGGGUAACCUGCCCCGAAGCGGGGGAUAACAUUUGGAAACAAGUGCUAAUACCGCAUAAUUAGUUGGAACCGCAUGGUUCCAACUUGAAAGAUGGCUCUGCUAUCACUUUGGGAUGGACCCGCGCCGUAUUAGUUAGUUGGUGAGAUAAAAGCCCACCAAGACGAUGAUACGUAGCCNACCUGAGAGGGUAAUCGGCCACAUUGGGACUGAGACACGGCCCAGACUCCUACGGGAGGCAGCAGUAGGGAAUCUUCCACAAUGGACGAAAGUCUGAUGGAGCAACNCCNCGUGAGUGAUGAAGGUUUUCGGAUCGUAAAACUCUGUUGUUAAAGAAGAACAAGUGUUAGAGUAACUGUUAACACUUUGACGGUAUUUAACCAGAAAGCCACGGCUAACUACGUGCCAGCAGCCGCGGUAAUACGUAGGUGGCAAGCGUUGUCCGGAUUUAUUGGGCGUAAAGCGAGCGCAGGCGGUUUUGUAAGUCUGCUGUGAAAGCCCUCAGCUCAACUGAGGAAGUGCAGUGGAAACUACAAAACUUGAGUACAGAAGAGGAAAGUGGAACUCCAUGUGUAGCGGUGAAAUGCGUA